rnacentral:rRNA from 1 species
GAUGAACGCUGGCGGCGUGCCUAAUACAUGCAAGUCGAGCGAACAGAUAAGGAGCUUGCUCCUUUGACGUUUGCGGCGGACGGGUGUGUAACACGUGGAUAACCUACCUAUAAUUCUGGGAUAACUUCGGGAAACCGGAGCUAAUACCGGAUAACAUAUUGAACCGCAUGGUUCAAUAGUGAAAGGCGGCUUUGCUGUCACUUAUAGAUGGAUCCGCGCCGUAUUAGCUAGUUGGUAAGGUAACGGCUUACCAAGGCAACGAUACGUAGCCGACCUGAGAGGGUGAUCGGCCACACUGGAGCUGAGACACGGUCCAGACUCCUACGGGAGGCAGCAGUAGGGAAUCUUCCGCAAUGGGCGAAAGCCUGACGGAGCAACGCCGCGUGAGUGAUGAAGGUCUUCGGAUCGUAAAACUCUGUUAUCAGGGAAGAACAAAUGUGUAAGUAACUGUGCACAGCGUGACGGUACCUGAUCAGAAAGCCACGGCUAACUACGUG